GAACAAACUGAAUCCCAUAUCAUCGUCACUCUCUUCCUUAGGUUCUUCCUUUUUCUCUUCAGGUGGAGGAGCAGCUGCGGCAGCAGCGCCACCAGCAGCUCCACCAGCUGGGACAGCAGCUGCGACUGAGGCACCACCACCAGCCCCAACAUUGAGGAUUAAAUCACCAAUGUUACGCUUCUCGGCCAACUUAGCAAAAAGACUGUACCAGUAAGACUCCACACCGUCCACAUUAGCCGCCUUUACAAGCGCAGCAAUCUUUUCCGCGGUAAUAGGGAUAUUGUCGUCGUAGAGGAUGAGAGCAGCGUAGGAGCAAGCAACUUCUCCGACCGACAUUUUUCACAGAUGAAAUGUCUCUUCUUGGCUGCAC
rnacentral:misc_RNA from 1 species